UACGGAGGAUCCAAGCGUUAUCCGGAUUUAUUGGGUUUAAAGGGUGCGUAGGUGGGCAAGUAAGUCAGUGGUGAAAUCUCCGGGCUUAACCCGGAAACUGCCAUUGAUACUAUUUGUCUUGAAUACUGUGGAGGUCAGCGGAAUAUGUCAUGUAGCGGUGAAAUGCUUAGAUAUGACAUAGAACACCAAUUGCGAAGGCAGCUGGCUACACAAAUAUUGACACUGAGGCACGAAAGCGUGGGGAUCAAACAGG
rnacentral:rRNA from 1 species